rnacentral:rRNA from 1 species
AUUGAACGCUGGCGGCAUGCCUUACACAUGCAGGUCGAACGGCAGCGCGGACUUCGGUCUGGCGGCGAGUGGCGAACGGGUGAGUAAUACAUCGGAACGUACCCUGUUGUGGGGGAUAACUAGUCGAAAGAUUAGCUAAUACCGCAUACGACCUGAGGGUGAAAGUGGGGGACCGGAAACGGCCUCAUGCAGCAGGAGCGGCCGAUGUCUGAUUAGCUAGUUGGUGGGGUAAAGGCCCACCAAGGCGACGAUCAGUAGCUGGUCUGAGAGGACGAUCAGCCACACUGGGACUGAGACACGGCCCAGACUCCUACGGGAGGCAGCAGUGGGGAAUUUUGGACAAUGGGGGCAACCCUGAUCCAGCAAUGCCGCGUGUGUGAAGAAGGCCUUCGGGUUGUAAAGCACUUUUGUCCGGAAAGAAAUCGCGCUGGUUAAUACCUGGCGUGGAUGACGGUACCGGAAGAAUAAGCACCGGCUAACUACGUG